CUUCCCAUCACUUCCCCUCUUCUCCUCCUGCCUCUGGGCUGGGAGGGCUCCCAGAGCCUUUGAGGAGACGCUGCUGUGAAAGCCAAAGGGGAGCUGGGAGCUCCAGGAGCUGCUGCUGCUGCCAGAGGACAGGGACAAGGUGCGGUUUCCUCGGCUCGGCCCCGGGAUGCAGCCCGCGGCUCUGCAGAGCCUGUCCGAGCUGGAGAGAGCCGGUCUGCAGGAGCUGGCGCUGUUCCGGCUGCAGGAGAGGCUGCCCGGGGCACAGCUGAGCCUGGACAGAGAUGGCUCCAGAGGCAUCAAAUCCAUCCGGCAGAAGCUGGAGAGCUUCUCCAAGGACAGGAAAG